GACUAUGUUAAUCAGAGAUUUUGUUUUCUUGUUUUAAAGUCACAACCUUAUACUUCAAUAUUGCAAAAACGACUUCCUAAUACAAAGACUUUAUAGUCUUGCACUACAAACAAUUUUUUCUGUUAUUAUUUAAGAAAAUGUGAAGAACUCAGUCCAUUCAUGUUUUGUAUCUUAAGUAAUCAUCCACAAUACAUAAAAUUCAUAGUUAUUAGAGAAUCGGCUUCAUAAUAUACAGGGUUGGAGAUGCUUUGGCAAUAAUGACAACUUAUCCAUUAGCUCUUAUAAAUUAUAUUUAUAAAUUUAUAAUUUAGCUCUUAUAAAAAAUAAAUGGCAGGAAAACCUGGAGAUCAAGAAGGUUUCAGAGGGGUGAUUCAAAUAAAGGAAUGGUUUUGAGUUUACUCAGGUACUCCUGUAUGUACAUCCAUAUAUAAAAUUCAGACUAAAACCAUAAAUGAAAAAGAAGUCUCAAUAUAGGAAGAAGGGAAAAGAGGUGAUGUGGUUAUCUUAGCAUAUUUUUAAAUGCUGAAUUAUAAAACCAUAGUAAAUCAUUAAAUUGGUUCUUGCUUAAAUCUAUCUGUAAGCUCUAUAGAAGUUCUAUAGAAAAAUACUACUAUGGAUUCUAAAGUGAAUUUAAUGAUUUAAUAAGAGUAGGGCCAAGGGGGCUAAAGGCUCAAAUAUUCUGAGUAUUUUUAAGCGCUCUAGACAAAAAAGUUUCAAUUGGUUCUCUAUGCUAAAAAGAGGAAUAACUCAGCCCACAGACAAGUAAGAUUUUUACACCAACAGAAAGAUAAUCUACCCUAGUUAUCCAGUACAUAUCAUAAGUAUAUUUAAGCUUGUCAUAUUUUCAAGGGUAGUUUGUGUUUUUACAUUCCUGAAAAUAAUCUAAAAAUAUGUUGGGGGGAUAAUUUAAGCUUUCAAAUAUGUCUUUGUAAUUUGCCAUUGUGUAUUUAAAAUGAAAAACUGGGAUCCCUGGGUGGCGCAGAGGUUUGGUGCCUGCCUUUGGCCCAGGGCGCAAUCCCAGAGACCCGGGAUCAAAUCCCACAUCGGGCUCCCGGUGCAUGGAGCCUGCUUCUCCCUCUGCCUGUGUCUCUGCCCCUCUCUCUCUCUCUCUCUGUGACUAUCAUAAAUAAAAAAAAAAUUUUUUUUAAAAUGAAAAACUGGAAGCAACAAAUAUUUUGCAUGUCACAUCCAAGUUUUCCCCCAAAAUAAUAAAGUGUGACACUGAGAAAUUCCAGUAACUUUUCUUCUAUAAAUCUAUGUAUUUUGUAUAAUAUUUUUAGGUUUUGUUUUAUUUUUAUGCUAGAAACUACUCUUUUGUUAUAUGGCAUUCAGUCUGUCAGGAUAUCCCUAUGUACACAGAUGCUUCAUAAAUAUUAGAAAAUCAAAGACAAACAUAGCUAGAUGGCCAUAUAUACUAAAUUUGAAGGAACAUCAUGCAAAGUGUAUAUAUCGUUAUUAUUUGGGGUUUCUACAAACUAUAGCUAAGCAUGAAUAUUUUCAACUUAAAAUCUUUGUAUGCAACUUAUUAAAUAUGGCAUUCUUUAGCUACUAAAAUCACAUAACCAUAAUCAACAGGAUAGUGGUGACAACACAAGUUUUAAGAAGAGACAUGGACUGUGUCAAGGUAGAUUUUGUCCUCCAUCUUUUAUUUUCUAACAAAGAUGACCAUUAUAACAAAGGAAAAUGUGUUGAAUGAAAAAAAAAGUAUAGAUUUCAGGUCAAAAAUCCCCAAAUUUAGAUCCUAAUGUUUAAUCUCUUUUGAAUCACAAUUUAUUGAAUUUGUUUUUUUAGCUCUAACUUAAUUACACAAUGUGAUUUUUUUCACCUGUUUAAAUUUACUUCUCCUGAAAGGAUAAAGCCAACAAAGGAAAAGGCUUUCCAAACAUACAGAGUUCCAGGAGAGAAAGUAGUGGGUAGAUUUGAAUUGAGGGUUAAGGCUCAAAGAAUAAGUUAAAAAUAUCAUUCAAUCAAAACUACUUUUAUUCAUGACGAGGUACUAUGUUGGGGACAGACAUACUUUACCUUCUUUCAACAGUCCCAAUAGAGACAGAUUUCUCCAUUUGUUUUAUUUUCCUUAGGACUGGAAUAGAUCACUGUUUCUUCACAGAGUACUAUAUCUAGGUAACUUUUGAUGUGCAUUUAAGGGGCACAGUGUAUAAAAUUACUUAUAUGUAAACUUUAGAAUCACACUGGGCAUGGCAAGAUGUUCACAUGAAAGAAGCACAGGGGAUUUAGUAGAACAGAAUCUCACUCCUCAUCUCAGCCUGACUUUAGCAAAUAAGAUCACUAAAGAACUGGAAGGUAGAAAUGACUCUCUGUUCUUUAUUCUUUACCUUUUCUCUCCAUCUCUUUCUUUCCUUGUUCCUUUAUUAACUGGAGAGAGUAAAUUUGAAAAGAUAAAUUUGAAUUUAAUGCACAUCAUUAAGGUUACUUUUAUUGGGUCUGCGAGGUAGUGGAAAACACAGUAAGAAUAGAUAUGAGAAAGGUAAAUUGGGGACAGAUCAUAAACACUGAAUAUCAAGAUUGGACUCUAUUUUAUAGAUAAUGGGGAAUAUUUUUAUCCACAUGAGAGACUAAACAGAGCUGUGUUUCAGUACGGUGAAUCUUUAGAAUCAAAUGAGGAAGUAUAGAUGAAAGAAAAUGCCAGACUGAACCAAGCUUGACAUUGAGGAGGAAAAAAGACAUGAUGGAUAUAUUGUUACCUAUACUUAAAACAACUGUUUUAAAUCCCCAGAAGUCUUUUCUCCAUCAUAAAAUAAUAAUAUUAAACUAAAUAACUACUGUAGCAUCUCUCCAAAUUGAGUAUUUAGAAAUGUGCUUAAGUCACAAGGUGAAAAACAUACAAUAUACUAAACAUUGUAUUAUAACUUCCUUAUCCCCAAAGGAUAAAUGGUUUGAAAAAUGUCUACAGUACAAAGUUAAAUUGCACCAUUAUUCAUAGAGUAUUUUGUGGGCUAUGAAAAUAAUGUAUUUGAGGAAGAUCAACACACUCACAAAAAUACACACACAGAGAAGUUACAAGACUUGUUAUUGUCAUGGCAAUGGCCUAGAUUCACUACGGAAUUGUCUCUCUUAAAAAUAGUAACAAUAGAAUUUUCUUCUUUAACUUUGUUGAAAUAACUAAUAGGUCCCUUCAAUUACCAGGAAACCAAGAUUCAUAGGAUCAGAUUUUGCAUAAUUUUUCUUUUUAUCUGCAGCUUCCAAAACAAAAUGUAAUACACUAUCUAUUGAUUUGGUUUAGUUCUUAAGCAAGGCCUGAAUUAUAACUACUUAACCGUUCUCCAAGGAUUCAGCCAGAUUAAGAGAGAUCCAAGAGUGGCUAUGUUGUCAAAAAGUGCUAGACGGUUCUUUUGAAAUAAUCUAACUCAGGCUAACAUUUAAGAGUUUUGAAAAUGGAAAUUCUAUCAUCAUCACUCAAAGAUUCCAGUAACAGCCCUUCCCCAUCUGACAUGCCAGCACUUAGUGGUCCCUGAAAAUAGAAAGAAGAGAAACAAAAUAGAAUAAAGAGAACAAGUGCAGUAACUAUGAUGAUAUUAUCAUGGAACUUUCCAAUGUAUUGGCCUGCUAUUUAUUGGACACUGUACUAGGCUCUUUAUAAAUAUCUUGACAACCACCAGAGAGAAUUAUUUCCAUUUUAUAGAAGAUGGUUCAGCAGAUCAAAAAGCUCAAGUUAUAAUGCUAGGUGGGGUUACAGCACUGGAGUUCAAAUCCAGGACUGUCUGAUUUCCAAACUUAAUUUAGUUGAAUUCUGCAAUGUUCUCCACACAACACAAGGUUAAGGAGUAACACUGAAAUAUUAUAGCAUCACAUCUAAGCAAAGCUCCGGCUCUUAGAUGGCUAGAACGUAAAGUUGCCUAGUCUGUUAUAAAUAUUCCAUUCAUCAGUGAUCAUUAAGAAGCGAUCAUAUAACUGGAAAUAUGCAAUAC
rnacentral:lncRNA from 1 species